rnacentral:tRNA from 1 species
GCGCGCGUGGCGGAAUGGCAGACGCGCCAGACUUAGGAUCUGGUCCCGCAAGGGUUGGAGGUUCAAGUCCUCUCGCGCGCACCA